AUGCAAUGUUGUAAAUUCAAGAUUUUCUUCAAAUUGAGCUUUUGCUUUUAUUGGAGUUUCUCAUUGCUUCCAAGUUUUAGUGUAAUCAAUUCUCCCAAUGUCAAUUAUUUCCAUCUCCAAAUAUGUAUGCUUCCUUAUUUUAUAUUUACAUAUAUGCCAGUGAAGUUGACUGUGGACUUUUCUUUACAAUUAGAAAACAUUGUCUUCCUAAUUUGUCACAGUGAACACAACAAGUUAUUUAGGCUAAAUUGUACUUUUGUUUUGGAAGUCAAUAAGCCAAGACUUCCACUUUGUUUCUGUUUUCAAAGCUUUAGCAUCGGAAUACAUUCCGAAUCGGCGUUGUUGAUAUGUGCUUAA
rnacentral:rRNA from 1 species